rfam:Beta vulgaris subsp. vulgaris Bvchr3_un.sca012.con0019.1, whole genome shotgun sequence.
UGGAAAUGAUUAGUAACUUAUUCGCGCUUCCGAGAUUCAUUCAAUGAAGUAUAGGAUUAAAAUGGUUCAAUUUCUUGAUAUGAGCCA